GACGAACGCUGGCGGCGUGCUUAACACAUGCCAGUCGAACGGAAAGGCCCUGCUUGCAGGGUGCUCGAGUGGCGAACGGGUGAGUAACACGUGGGUGAUCUGCCCCUUACUUUGGGAUAAGCCUGGGAAACUGGGUCUAAUACUGGAUAGGACCAUGCUGUAGGUGGUGUGGUGGAAAGAUUAGUUUCGGUAAGGGAUGAGCUCGCGGCCUAUCAGCUUGUUGGUGGGGUAAUGGCCUACCAAGGCGUCGACGGGUAGCCGGCCUGAGAGGGUGGACGGCCACAUUGGGACUGCGAUACGGCCCAGACUCCUACGGGAGGCAGCAGUGGGGAGUAUUGCACAAUGGGCGCAAGCCGGAUGCAGCGACGCCGCGUGGGGGAUGACGGCCUUCGGGUUGUAAACUCCUUUCAGCCAUGACGAAGCCCUUGUGGUGACGGUAGUGGUAGAAGAAGCACCGGCUAACUACGUG
rnacentral:rRNA from 1 species